CAAGUCGAACGGUGAACCCCGCUUCGGUGGGGGGAUCAGUGGCGAACGGGUGAAUAACACGUGGGCAACCUGCCCCCGGUCUCUGGGAUACCUCCAAGAAAUUGGGGCUAAUACCGGAUAUGACCGCUGACCGCAUGGUCUGGGUGGUGGAAAGAUUAUCGGCUGGGGAUGGGCCCGCGGCCUAUCAGCUUGUUGGUGGGGUAGUGGCCUACCAAGGCGACGACGGGUAGCCGGCGUGAGAGGGUGACCGGCCACACUGGGACUGAGACACGGCCCAGACUCCUACGGGAGGCAGCAGUGGGGAAUAUUGCGCAAUGGGCGGAAGCCUGACGCAGCGACGCCGCGUGGGGGAUGACGGCCUUCGGGUUGUAAACCUCUUUCAGCAGGGACGAAGCGGAAGUGACGGUACCUGCAGAAGAAGCACCGGCCAACUACGUGCCAGCAGCCGCGGUAAUACGUAGGGUGCAAGCGUUGUCCGGAAUUAUUGGGCGUAAAGAGCUCGUAGGCGGUUUGUUGCGUCGGCUGUGAAAUCCCGAGGCUCAACCUCGGGUCUGCAGUCGAUACGAGCAAACUAGAGUGUUGCAGGGGAGACUGGAAUUCCUGGUGUAGCGGUGAAAUGCGCAGAUAUCAGGAGGAACACCGGUGGCGAAGGCGGGUCUCUGGGCAACAACUGACGCUGAGGAGCGAAAGCGUGGGGAGCGAACAGGAUUAGAUACCCUGGUAGUCCACGCCGUAAACGUUGGGCGCUAGGUGUGGGGCUCAUUCCACGAGUUCCGUGCCGCAGCUAACGCAUUAAGCGCCCCGCCU
rnacentral:rRNA from 1 species